rnacentral:rRNA from 1 species
AAAACAUCGCCUCCUGCAACACAACCAAGUAUAGGAGGUCCAGCCUGCCCAGUGACUACAAGUUCAACGGCCGCGGUAUUCUAACCGUGCAAAGGUAGCGCAAUCACUUGUCUUUUAAAUAAAGACCUGUAUGAAUGGCUAAACGAGGGCUUAACUGUCUCCCCUUUCAAGUCAGUGAAAUUGAUCUACCCGUGCAGAAGCGGGUAUAAUAAUACAAGACGAGAAGACCCUUUGGAGCUUAAGGUACAAAACUCAAUCACGUUAAGCAACUCAAUAUAAAAGUAAAAACUCUGUGAGAAUGAAAUUUUACCUUCGGUUGGGGCGACCACGGAGGAGAAAAAAGCCUCCAAAUGGACUGGGAUUAAACCUCCUAAAACCAAGAGAGACAUCUCUAAGCCACAGAACAUCUGACCAAACAUGAUCCGGCCAGUAUAGACCGAUCAAUGAACCAAGUUACCCUAGGGAUAACAGCGCAAUCCUCUCCCAGAGUCCAUAUCGACGAGGGGGUUUACGACCUCGAUGUUGGAUCAGGACAUCCUAAUGGUGCAGCCGCUAUUAAGGGUUCGUUUGUUCAACGAUUAAAGUCCUACGUGA